rnacentral:ncRNA from 1 species
UAACGUCUUCAGGGCGGGGCGAAACUCCCCACCGGCGGUAGGCGCGGUCACGCGCGAGCCCGCGAGCGCCUCCAGGCCGCGGUUCCGAUUCGGGACCGGGCGCGGAGGGUCAGCAGAUCCGGUCCGAUGCCGGAGCCGACGGUCACAGUCCGGAUGAAAGAAGACGGCU